rnacentral:tRNA from 1 species
ACUUAAAACUAUUAAGACUUGUAAAAUUCUAACUUACAGCUUCUGAAUGCAACCCAGACACUUUAAUUAAGCUAAAGCCUC